GCCUUCGUAGUGUAGUGGUGAGUACACUCGACGCUUACUCGAGAGGUCCAUGGUUCGAUUCCCAGCGAGGACG